GAUGAACGCUGGCGGCGUGCCUAAUACAUGCAAGUCGAGCGAACAGAUAAGGAGCUUGCUCCUUUGACGUUAGCGGCGGACGGGUGAGUAACACGUGGGUAACCUACCUAUAAGACUGGGAUAACUUCGGGAAACCGGAGCUAAUACCGGAUAAUAUUUCGAACCGCAUGGUUCGAUAGUGAAAGAUGGUUUUGCUAUCACUUAUAGAUGGACCCGCGCCGGAUUAGCUAGUUGGUAAGGUAACGGCUUACCAAGGCGACGAUACGUAGCCGACCUGAGAGGGUGAUCGGCCACACUGGAACUGAGACACGGUCCAGACUCCUACGGGAGGCAGCAGUAGGGAAUCUUCCGCAAUGGGCGAAAGCCUGACGGAGCAACGCCGCGUGAGUGAUGAAGGUCUUCGGAUCGUAAAACUCUGUUAGUAGGGAAGAACAUACGUGUAAGUAACUGUGCACGUCUUGACGGUACCUAAUCAGAAAGCCACGGCUAACUACGUG
rnacentral:rRNA from 1 species